rnacentral:piRNA from 1 species
UUCAAAUCUACUGGUAGGAAUGUCCAGUA